GAUGAACGCUGGCGGCGUGCUUAAUACAUGCCAGUCGAACGGAAAGGCCAAAGCUUGCUUGGUUACUCGAGUGGCGAAGGGGUGUGUAACACGCGGGUGAACUGCCCCGCACUUCGGGAUAAGCCUUGGAAACUGGGUCUAUUACCGGAUAGGACAGUGGGUUGGAUGUCAUUGUGGAAAGUUUUUUGGUUUUGGGAUGAGUUGGAGGCGUAGCAGCUUGUUGGUGGGGUAAUGGCAUACCAAGGGGUUGGCGGGUAGACGGCCUGAGGGAGUGUACGGCCGCAUUGGGUCUGAGAUACGGCCCAGACUCCGACGGGAGGCAGCAGGGGGGAAUAUUGCACAAGGAGCGCAGGCCUGAUGCAGCGACGCCGCGUGUGGGAUGACGGCCUUCGGGUUGUAGACUCAUUUCGCUAGGGACGAUGCGUUAUGUGACGGUACCUAGAGAAGAAGCACCGGCUAACUACGUG
rnacentral:rRNA from 1 species